AUGCAAGUCGAACGGUAACAGGCCCGCAAGGGUGCUGACGAGUGGCGGACGGGUGAGGAAUACAUCGGAAUCUGCCCGGUUGUGGGGGAUAACGUAGGGAAACUUACGCUAAUACCGCAUACGACCGAAAGGUGAAAGCGUGGGAUCCGCAAGGACCUCGCGCAGCCGGAUGAGCCGAUGUCGGAUUAGCUAGUUGGCGGGGUAAAGGCCCACCAAGGCGACGAUCCGUAGCUGGUCUGAGAGGAUGAUCAGCCACACUGGGACUGAGACACGGCCCAGACUCCUACGGGAGGCAGCAGUGGGGAAUAUUGGACAAUGGGGGCAACCCUGAUCCAGCAAUGCCGCGUGUGUGAAGAAGGCCUUCGGGUUGUAAAGCACUUUUAUCCGGAACGAAACGCGCAGGGCGAAUAGCUUUGCGAACUGACGGUACCGGAGGAAUAAGCACCGGCUAACUUCGUGCCAGCAGCCGCGGUAAUACGAAGGGUGCAAGCGUUACUCGGAAUUACUGGGCGUAAAGCGUGCGUAGGUGGUUUGUUAAGUCUGCUGUGAAAGCCCCGGGCUCAACCUGGGAAUGGCAGUGGAUACUGGCAAGCUAGAGUACGGUAGAGGGGUGUGGAAUUCCCGGUGUAGCGGUGAAAUGCGUAGAGAUCGGGAGGAACACCAGUGGCGA
rnacentral:rRNA from 1 species